UACAGAGGGGGCAAGCGUUUGUUCGGAAUUACUGGGCGUAAAGGGCGCGUAGGCGGCCUGUUAAGUCGAACGUGAAAUCCCCGGGCUCAACCCGGGAACUGCGUCCGAUACUGGCAGGCUUGAAUUCGGGAGAGGGAUGUGGAAUUCCAGGUGUAGCGGUGAAAUGCGUAGAUAUCUGGAGGAACACCGGUGGCGAAGGCGGCAUCCUGGACCGAUAUUGACGCUGAUGCGCGAAAGCCAGGGGAGCAAAGCGGG
rnacentral:rRNA from 1 species